GAUGAACGCUGGCGGCGUGCUUAACACAUGCAAGUCGAACGAAGCACUUAAGAUUGAUUCUUCGGAUGACGUCUUUUGUGACUUAGUGGCGGACGGGUGAGUAACGCGUGGGUAACCUGCCUCACACAGGGGGAUAACAGUUAGAAAUGACUGCUAAUACCGCAUAACCCGAUAGGAUCGCAUGAUCCAGACGGAAAAGAUUAAUCGGUGUGAGAUGGACCCGCGUCUGAUUAGCUAGUUGGUGAGGUAACGGCCCACCAAGGCGACGAUCAGUAGCCGGCCUGAGAGGGUGAACGGCCACAUUGGGACUGAGACACGGCCCAAACUCCUACGGGAGGCAGCAGUGGGGAAUAUUGCACAAUGGGGGAAACCCUGAUGCAGCGACGCCGCGUGAGUGAAGAAGUAUUUCGGUAUGUAAAGCUCUAUCAGCAGGGAAGAAAAUGACGGUACCUGACUAAGAAGCCCCGGCUAACUACGUG
rnacentral:rRNA from 1 species